CCUUCCUUAGUGCCGUAGGUCCGGCGGCGGCUUCCCCUUCCCCUCCGGCCGUACCCGCGCUGCGCCCCGGCCGGCCCCGCCGGAGGCACCAGUGGCAGCGCCGGCGGGAGGGCGCAGCGGGUGCCAGGAGCUAAGAUGGCGCCGGGGAGGCGGGGGGGGUGGCGACAAAGCCGAGCGCGGGGAAAGGCCGCGGCGGGAAGGGCGGUAUUGUGAGAAAAAAACGAUGUUUGAGGAGAAAUCUGAUAUUCGGCGACUGGCGGCGCAAAAAUCCCGCAGCGCUCAGCGUAUCUGGGAACAAGCACAAGUGUUACAUGACCAUCCAGUUGUUCACAGAUUACAAGCAAGUGCUCUGGUAAGUUAAAAACGUUGGUAUAGGAAAAAAUAAAAAUCAGGUUUAGCAGCUAUGUCUAAUGGGAACUUUACAAUAAAUAAAUAAAUAAAUCCAAAUAGAAUCACUGGAUUUAUUCAACUAUAUACUAUUAGUUACUCCCUGUCGCUGGUGUUACUGAACCACCAUCCUGCUUUAAAGGCAGUUAUCAGCCCAGAAGUAUUUUCAUCCAAGGGUUCAAACUGCAACAACUGUGAGGACACGUGGAAGAUUCUUCUGUCAUUAUCUAACCAUUCAGUUCUAAUGUGAGUGCUUGACUGGGAAGGUUUGUGACUAGCGGAGAUGGAUAAACAGUUGGAUGGGAGGUAUUUGAAUGUUUAAUAUAUGUGCCAAACUGUCUUUCUAGGGUCAUGGAGACUCGGCAGUUCCUGGGGGCUGUCAAACUGAUUACACGCAGCAAACCAGCCGCUGUGUCUCUGCCUGCUGCUUAGAGUAAGCACUGAUAUGCCAGUCAGACUUUACUAUCAAGUACAAGCUUAUGUGUGCUGGAGAUGUUGUGCAGACUUCAAGUCAUUGGUGUACUCAGUAAUUUAAAAGCUUUCAUAUACUCUAAAAAUUUUUGUCUUGCACUCCAAAGGGCAAUCUUUGUUCCUAACACAGAGCCCAAGUCUGCAAGUUCUUUCUGGAAGACCAGGCUCCCAGCAUAGAUGUACAAUUUUAAACAGUUGGUUGCAUUUUAGCAGUGGUAAGAUGAUCCUUGUUUUAUAUUUCUCUACAAUAAUUUCUGUAAAGGCUGUGAGAUUCUUUGGGAUGGAAGGCUAUAAAAAUGUAAGUUGCUAUUAAUUAUAUUGAUUUGCAUGAUUUUAUGUAUGCCCAUUUUGCAUUGCAGAAAUACUUAGAAAGAAAUGUACUCUUCUUUCUUUUUCACACAUCAUUGCAUUGUAUUUGAGAGGAUUUAGCACAUUUUCUGAUUUCACUUGCCAAAUCGGGGGUUUGUGUUUAAAAUUUACAGCUGACUUGACAUUCCAGAAACUAAGCAUGAUUACCAAUUAUGUCUCUGUCUUGUAUUAACAUACCUAACUAAGGAAAGAAAUAUUGGGAGAUCUGAACUUUUACAUCAAGGAGCAAAUAUGAGAUUAUCUUUACAAAGAAGCUCUGUUUAUUCAAUUUUUGAGAAAAAAAGUGCAGUUACUCCUACACUCUGUAAAUUGUAAGGCCAUUAAUCAUUAUCAGCUGCUGCCAAAUCCCCAUGUAUAUAUCCCAAAUAUACAUAAAGGUAACCUAA